rnacentral:rRNA from 1 species
AACGAACGCUGGCGGCGUGGAUAAGACAUGCAAGUCGAACGCUGAUUUCAGGGUAGCAAUAUUCUGAAGUUGGAGUGGCGCAAGGGUGCGUAACACGUGGGUAAUUUGCCAUGAAGCCCGGAAUAACUCGCUGAAAGGCGAGCUAAUACCGGAUGUGAUGUUCGGGAGGCAUCUCCUGAACCUUAAAGCUGGGACCGCAAGGCCUGGCACUUCUUGAUAAGCCCGCGGCCUAUCAGCUAGUUGGUGAGGUAACGGCUCACCAAGGCUAAGACGGGUAGCUGGUCUGAGAGGACGACCAGUCACACUGGAACUGAGACACGGUCCAGACACCUACGGGUGGCAGCAGUCGAGAA